GACGAACGCUGGCGGCGUGCUUAACACAUGCAAGUCGAACGGAAAGGCCCUGCUUUUGUGGGGUGCUCGAGUGGCGAACGGGUGAGUAACACGUGAGUAACCUGCCCUUGACUUUGGGAUAACUUCAGGAAACUGGGGCUAAUACCGGAUAGGAGCUCCUGCUGCAUGGUGGGGGUUGGAAAGUUUCGGCGGUUGGGGAUGGACUCGCGGCUUAUCAGCUUGUUGGUGGGGUAGUGGCUUACCAAGGCUUUGACGGGUAGCCGGCGUGAGAGGGUAACCGGCCACAUUGGGACUGAGAUACGGCCCAGACUCCUAGGGGAGGCAGCAGUGGGGAAUAUUGCACAAUGGGCGGAAGCCUGAUGCAGCAACGCAGCGUGCGGGAUGACGGCCUUCGGGUUGUAAACCGCUUUCGCCUGUGACGAAGCGUAAGUGACGGUAAUGGGUGAAGAAGCACCGGCUAACUACGUG
rnacentral:rRNA from 1 species